rnacentral:piRNA from 1 species
UGGUUACUUGUGUCCUUGUUGUGAGAGG